CUCGUAGGUGGCCAACUAAGUCAGACGUGAAAUCCCCAGGCUUAACCUGGGAACUGCGUCUGAUACUGGAUGGCUUGAAUUCGGGAGAGGGAUGCAGAAUUCCAGGUGUAGCGGUGAAAUGCGUAGAUAUCUGGAGGAAUACCGGUGGCGAAGGCGGCAUCCUGGACCGAGAUUGACACUGAUGAGCGAAAGCAGGGAGCAAC
rnacentral:rRNA from 1 species